UACGGAGGAUCCGAGCGUUAUCCGGAUUUAUUGGGUUUAAAGGGUGCGCAGGCGGAAGAUUAAGUCGGCGGUGAAAUUUUGCAGCUCAACUGUAAAAGUGCCAUCGAUACUGGUUUUCUUGAGUGUGGAUGAAGUAGGCGGAAUUUGUGGUGUAGCGGUGGAAUGCGCAGAGAUCAGGAGGAAUACCGAAGGCGAAGGCAGUCUUCCAAGCCGUUAUUGACGCUCAACUGCGAAGGUGUGGGUAUCAAACAGGAUUAGAUACCCCUGUA
rnacentral:rRNA from 1 species